rnacentral:miRNA from 1 species
CAGGAUGCCCAGUUAAAUUUGAAUUUCAGAUAGACAAUGAAAAAUUUUGUAAUAUAAGUAUGCCCCAUGCAAUAUUUGAGACAUACUUAUGCUAAAUGAUUACUCAUUGUUCAUCUGAAAUUCAAAUUUAACUGGAAUUCUGUA